ACCAGCACUAAGUCAGCUGUCCGGGUAUCAGUGCCCGGUUCAGUGUUACAGUGCUGGGAGAGGAAGCCCUGUAACUGCGACGGUUCUGCCGCCUCUGUUUUAGAGCUGGCUCUGCCGAAGCGUUGCAGGGUUCGACCCAACGAGAGUGGCCUGCGCUGAAACCCAGCGGCUCAGGCCUAGUGUCGGGUCACACAAA
ensembl:snoRNA SNORA74 Small nucleolar RNA SNORA74